ACUUCUGUUGUUACUGUAGGUGCUGCUAUAGGAGAGAGUUGAGACAGACUGCUUUUAUCAGGGACUACAGCCUCCAUCAGAUCAGUCUCUGUGGACACUUCCUGCCUUGGGUCAAACCAAUCACCUUACCUCCACCUACCUCUGGCUGUUACCACUCUACCUGCCUCCAUUGUCCUGGCUUUUGCCUCCUGGCUCUCACGUCGGUGGGUGGAGCGGUACAGCGGGUCCUCCGGAGGAAAAGUCAUUCAGAGGCGCCGUUUGACAUUUGAUGGCAUCAGCACAAAACAGGCUGAUGGUUCUGCCUCCUGGCAUUCUCCUCCAUAAAAAGGAAGGGGUUUUAGCCAAAAGAUUCACGGUCGUUUCUGACAGAUAACUGCAGCUGGUUAACAUCUGUCUAUUGAUCGUCUUUCUUGUAGAUGUUUCUGUUUUGAUUGUUGUAGACGUGUUGCAUCCAUUCCUGUAGCUGUUUUGUGGGUUUUAUCUGUUUCUUCUGUUUCUUUUGAUUAUUUCUUAGCAUAUCUUUCCUAUGUUUUACAUCUCUUUAUGCUAAUUUCUGUAGCUGUGGAUGUUUUUCAUGCCUUUGGUUGUUUUGUCUUCCUGUGAUUUUGCUGCGUUUAAGUGUUCACUUUGUGUCUUUGUGGAUUUAUUGCAUAUCUUUUUGUCUGUUUACACCUGUGGUGGAAAUGUCUCAUAAAGAUAAGAUUUGUCUUUUGUGUGAUUUAUUCUAAAAAUAAAGGAAAAUAAAAAUAAUGGGAAAGCA
rnacentral:lncRNA from 1 species